rnacentral:rRNA from 1 species
AGUGAACGCUGGCGGUAGGCCUAACACAUGCCAGUCGAACGGCAGCACAGUAAGAGCUUGCUCUUACGGGUGGCGAGUGGCGGACGGAUGAGGAAUACAUCGGAAUCUACUUUUUCGUGGGGGAUAACGUAGGGAAACUUACGCUAAUACCGCAUACGACCUACGGGUGAAAGCAGGGGAUCUUCGGACCUUGCGCGAUUGAAUGAGCCGAUGUCGGAUUAGCUAGUUGGCGGGGUAAAGGCCCACCAAGGCGACGAUCCGUAGCUGGUCUGAGAGGAUGAUCAGCCACACUGGAACUGAGACACGGUCCAGACGCCUACGGGAGGCAGCAGUGGGGAAUAUUGGACAAUGGGCGCAAGCCUGAUCCAGCCAUACCGCGUGGGUGAAGAAGGCCUUCGGGUUGUAAAGCCCUUUUGUUGGGAAAGAAAAGCAGCAGGUUAAUACCCCGCUGUUCUGACGGUACCCAAAGAAUAAGCACCGGCUAACUUCGUG